CGUAACACGUGGGCAAUCUGCCCUCGGAUGGGGGAUACCCCCGCGAAAGCGGGACUAAUACCGCAUGAUAUUCCGGAGACCUCGGUUUCUGGAUUCAAAGCCCGCAAGGGCGUCUGAGGAGGAGCCCGCGCCCGAUUAGCUAGUUGGUGAGGUAACGGCUCACCAAGGCUAUGAUCGGUAGCCGGUCUGAGAGGAUGGCCGGCCACACUGGAACUGAGACACGGUCCAG
rnacentral:rRNA from 1 species